rnacentral:snoRNA from 1 species
AGAUGAGAUGAUGAAUGAGAUUAAUUUCCCUAUUGGUUUGACUGGCUGACAUGAUGGCCCACACGCUGGACUUCGAGCACCUCAUCC